UUGAUUGAUCGUGACUUUUACUGUAUUAAAUCCUCUGUGAUCGUUUUCUCUCCACCUCCGUCCAUUAACCUGCAUGGAGAGCUCGACUGGUUCCCAGCUGAAACUGGGAAGGAAACAGUUGAAAAGCCAGCAGAGGCCAUUUAACACCAGUUGGACCUGAUCUGCUGACCCGUCUCCUUGGAAACGUUUUGCUUUAAUUCCUGCGCCAACUUCCUUUUCGGCAACCUCAUACCUGAUAGGAACGAUGUAAACAAAACAAAAACAAGGGAUUUAAUUAAUGAGCUUUAUGGUGAAAAGACAUAAUCUGAGAAUCUUCAGUGAUAAUUUUUAGAUUUUAGUAUUUAAGUAUCAAACAAUAAAAUAAUGUGAGCCGUUCUGGAUGUGAUUAAUGCAGACAGUUAGUUGUCAGAUGUUUUUAAGUAAUUAAGGAUGAAAGAGGAAAGUGUGACACACGGAUCUGGAAUGAGAAACAUUUUUGCCUUUGUUCAACCGAAACCGAACAGUUCAGACCAAAACUGAACCCGUUAAUAAAACUAACUAAUGCUGAUUUAAAUGUGGCCUUUAUCUUCAAUAAAAACUAUUUCACUGUCCAUAUUUUUGUUGCCUUUCACCUUCCACCCGAAUACUUUGGGUUUUAGUUUUUGUUUCCUCAGCAGUGGGUGAGAGUACUGGUCAGGUAGCAUAUCUGCACCUGUGUGUGUGUGUGUGUGUUAUUUUAAACCUCUGCACACAAAACCGUUGAAAGAUGGAAACUUAACUGGAACUGAUUUGUGAAUCUGUAUCUAAAAAAACUGAAUUUUACUUUAAAAAGCCACUAAAACUCAUGUGUUGAUGAUUAAAAUGAGAUGUUUUCGCCACCUGUUGGUGUUAAAUUGUUGACUGAUUGAUAUGAUCUGCAGCAAAGAUUGUAGUUUUUUUCUCAUUGCAUAGCUACAAUUAAAGGUUUUACAAUUUGCAGCAUAAAUGUAAAUAUCAUAACAACAACAAAUUAAAAUAAUUUCUGCCAGCAGGGGGCAACAAAAACUAUAAACUUAAAUUUUGUUAUAUGUAGCUAAAAUUACAAAAGAAUAUUUAAAAAUGUUAUCAGUAAAAUGAUGAAAUUUAAUUAAAUUAAAUUUAACAAUAAAAUAAAUAAUUGAAUAAUUUGUAUAACUUUUAUUGCCUCAUUGUUUUAAUACAUAUUUAAAUCAUUACAAUUUAAAUUAUUUCAUAAUUUCUUAUUAUAUGUACAAUAUUGGCUAAAUACAUGUUUUAUUUCAUUGUUUCACAGGUGUGUUUUGCUGCAUUUGACCAGUUUCUUUCAUAUGGUGAUGCUGAGGCUGCAAAUCGGGAAGCACUACAUCCAGGACAAGAAAAGCUGUCAUGGUUCUCUUCCUCUGGGCUCCACUGCUGGUCAGCUGUAAAGAGGUCAAAGUGCAAGCUGACUGUAAUGACAUCCACAACGAGGACCAAAACUUCCCAGUGGAGUAAACACCAUCUAUCCAAGUGGAUCUACUUCAGUUCCCAUUCCACACCACAUGGUGGCGGUGCAACCAAAGCAGUAUU